AGGCUUCGGCCUUAGUGGCGCACGGAUGCUUAACGCGUGGGAAUCUGCCCUUGGCUACGGAAUAACUCCUCGAAAGGGGUGCUAAUACCGUAUGAUGUCGCGAGACCAAAGAUUUAUCGCCCAGGGAUGAGCCCGCGUAGGAUUAGCUAGUUGGUGAGGUAAAGGCUCACCAAGGCGACGAUCCUUAGCUGGUCUGAGAGGAUGAUCAGCCACACUGGGACUGAGACACGGCCCAGACUCCUACGGGAGGCAGCAGUGGGGAAUAUUGGACAAUGGGCGAAAGCCUGAUCCAGCAAUGCCGCGUGAGUGAUGAAGGCCUUAGGGUUGUAAAGCUCUUUUACCCGGGAAGAUAAUGACUGUACCGGUAGAAUAAGCCCCGGCUUACUCCGGUCCAUCAGCCG
rnacentral:rRNA from 1 species